rnacentral:lncRNA from 1 species
CCUUAUUCUAAUACCAAGAGCAGACAUUUGUACCUACUCUUGCAGUGUAGCAGAGCUAAAAAAAACUCUCCAGGAGUUGAGAGAUGGGAACAGUUUGAUUUUUUUUUUUACACUAAACACUAUCUGCAUACAUGUAGAACUAACAUAUCCCAAGGCUAUGUUGCUUUCCCUAUGUCUGACAAGAAUGAGUUCAGGAUUUGUGAAGUAUGCUAGCUUGACAGCCAUGGAGACUGCAGGUCUGCCGUCCUGUACCUUUCCACACAACGUACUGGGCUACAUAGUGGUUCCACCUUUCCUACACCCAACUUGCCAAUAUACCUCAGCCCUGCAGUACCAGGAGUUCCUCUAGGGAUGAAUCCAUCUCCAUGGCUAAUCCUUGGAUUUUUAUGAGGUUUGCUAGGGAUGAAAGCCUGGCCCCAUUGAAGUCAAUGGGAGUUUUGCCAUUGACUUCAGUGGAGCCAAGGUGUCACCCUAGGUUCUGAACUGAGACUACCAACUCAUUACACAUAGAUAACUCAGUAGCUCUCAGAUAAUAACAAGUUACUUGGUACAAGAACAAACCAUUGACUCUGUAGAGAAAUGGAAUUUACCCAUCCCCUGAGAGAGUUUGGAUUUAAAUCAUCCAUUCACGGGCAUUCAUACUGGUUAGUGGUCUAGUUUUAAAGUAUGUGAAAUGGAUCCUCUCUCAGCUUCUUCCAUCCAUCGCUAUAUUUUUAACAAUCUUUUCUGUCUUUCUAGCCAGUCCAUGUUGUGGAUUUCUGUGGGAUGUCAUGGUGAUUUCCAUGUACACCUGAAUUUGCUGGGAUGUGCACAUUUUUAGAAUUCCAUUUUAUAAACUGUAGCCCAGAGCUUGGUUUUACCUUUUCAGAUAUACUAUUGCUUCCUAUGAUGGAUUCUGUGUGGCCAAUCAAAGCAUUGCUGUGGGUAUUCAGGAAUUCUACUGUUUCAAAAUAUUACUGAGUAAUAGGAUAGCCUGAAUAAAUACUCCAUUCCUAUUUCGUGUGAACA